AUGUACAUUCCUACAUCAUAGUGUUAAUGCACCAGAUCCUAUUAGAACUCUAUAUUUAAUCACACUCUUGAUAGAUUAGUACUAGGAUAGGUGACUACCCGGGAAGUCCUAGUGUUUUACAUG
rnacentral:rRNA from 1 species